rnacentral:lncRNA from 1 species
CGAGAAUUUACUCCCUUCGCCUCCAACUGGUUGGCAAAAAAAGGAGGGUUGCACAUGCAGAAAUCGUAAAUUAUCUCAGAUUCUUCUUUCAGUGCAUCCAUUAGAAGAGUCUUCUGUGGUACCUUAACCACUUUUAUAAGAUCAGACAAGUUAUUCUGCUCCACAUUCUUCUUGGCAUAAUUGAAGCACAUAUCAUCCACUUCUGUGGCAAGAAAAUACCAGCCAUUCAACGUUGAUCCAAGUAAUGGGUAUAUGCACGAUGCCCCUGUCCCUAUGUCGAUGCCCCGCCUAAGCACUCGCUUGUCAGCAUCCUGGUGGCCAAUGAGAUCCUCCACCCAGUGGAUGUAGUUCAGCCUCAAGGGGACGGUGGGAAUGAGCCUUUCCAGGGGGAUGUCAAUGGUGAGCCCAAAAUCCUCCUUCAGGAGGGUACACGUCAGAGCUCUCACCGCCUCGGGGUCCUUGAAGUUCAGGCUGAAAGCACAAGCAGGCGUUACGUCGGGGUCCGGCCGCAGACACGCGCGCAGCUCGGAAACCCGCCCCCCCUCGCGGCCGCCUACCUCACCCUGCCGGCCAGGGUGGUCUGUACGUGCUGCCGGAACUCGGGGUACUUGCCGGCCAGAUAACGUACACGCAAACAUGCAAAAAUCCCAUUUUCCUGAAGGUGGCUGUCUAAGAUCAGAGUUGCUUCUGAUUGGAAGAAGUGUUUACUAUAAAUAACCUCUAAUAGGCAUUCCUCUGAGCAAACAGCAGUGAAAGCUCAUCUGGAGGUGGAGGGCGAGCGAGGAAGACCAUUGGAAGAAGCAAAAGGCCAAAAGGCUGUCGGUUGGACUGUCAUGAUGCUGAAAGGACGCUAGGCGGUAGAAGAGACCAUGGAGUAGAGGACUGGAAACCUCAUCAAUCACUACCUGAGAUGGGCGUGUGUGUAAUUAUCUCGCAGGUAAUCAGUGAGUGUGUUACUACCUGUGGAAAUAGAAUGGACUCUGAAUCACGUCAUCUUGGAAGGACUUAUGGUGGAAAUAUCCCCAGGGCUUCCCGGUGCUGCUAAAUAAAGAACACCUGACUUAAUGCUAACAAAACCUUGUUCUGUUUCUGCGCACUGAUUUCUCCUGUUCGCUUCUCACAGCUACACCCACGACGUGCCAGAAUGGCUUCGUUACUCUGAAGGCAUCUUUAAAACCUCUCAGCGCUGUGAAUUGCUUUCUGUGUCAUCAGUUUGGGCCUGCAGCCCCUCCCGGCCUGGCAGCAGCCUGCCAUUGGCAUACCUGGUUUCCCCACUUCAGAUCCAUAACACAAAGAGCUCGUACUUCCAGUUAUUAUCAUACUGCCGUUUGCUGAACACGCAUUUUGAAAGACACAUAAAAAGGACUUCAUAAUGAGCUUUGAUUUUAAAAAGUGGCAAAACAAAGGCUAAAACUGGGACUUAAAGCCGGCUUCAGCUCCCAGCUGUGUCAUUGACAGCUUGGGCACAUUUCAUUCCCAAGUGCCAAGUUCUCCCAUCAAUACAGGAGGAACUUACUGUCUGAAUACAGUGUGUUGGUUCCUCAGAUAACUUGGAUAAAAGCAUACCUCAGCAAGAGUGACAUUAAAGUACAAUCUAUUAUUCUUCUAUUCGUUUUCCAGGCUGGAUGUGGCUCUGGGCAGCCCGGUCUGGUGGUUGGUGACCCUACACAUAGCGGGGGGGUUGAAACUCGAUGAUCAUUGUGGUCCUUUUCAACCCAGGCCAUGCUAUGAUUCUAUUAUUCUAUGAUUUUUUCCUUGUUAAACUUCCAAAUGCUUGCAUGUUGUUUCAAAAUUAAGUACGUAGGCAUCCCCAUUUGACUCUCAAAUGUCUGAAAUGACUUUGCAGCUGGGUUUGCUUUCAGUCCUAGCUCCUGCCCUCACAGCUGUCUGUGUCCUAAGGGCAGCCAAGCUGCUAAGCUUCACACAGAAAAGACUAAUUUUAUUAUCUAUUUUCUUAAACACACACCUUUUUUUACCAGAGCAACAUCCCAACUCGUGUACAGCCCACCCUUUCCGCUUCUGGAAGUCAUUCUCCACAGUCUGCCCCCACCCACAGCCAAAGAAGUGAAGCUGAUGUGGACAAAAGCAGAAUGGAGGCAGAGUCAAAAAUACGAAUUUUAAUUUGGAGUACUUAGUGUAUUUACAGUAGAAGGGUUCUCUCUAGUCAAGGGACAACAGAUUUUUUUAAAAAUCCACAUUCACAAAUAUGUGGACCUGCACCUGAUGCAGGCUAAUUGCUUUUUGCUACUUCUGCUGCACUCAGGCAACAGCCAUGAGAAAAUGCUGGUGUGAGCUUGUAGAUGGAAUCAGAUGUCUCUUACACCCAAGUAGCACUUACACAAUGGAGUCCAGAAAGUAGUGUGAAGUUAUCCAACAGCUGCUAAAAAAUGUCUCAUAUAUAUGUACAUAUAUGCAGUCCCAUUUGCAGCCAGGAUUCAAUGAUUCAGUGAAUCAUUCAGGGAGAGACAGGCAAGCAGGCACAAGCCUACCAACCUGUGUGCAAGCACAGAUCUGCAGGGACACUCACUGCCAGGUACAAAGGUACCUCCUCACCCA